ACGCCCUCGCGGGUGCUACCCAGAAACCCUUUUGUGAACUUAUACCAUAAUCAUGUUGCCUCGGCAGUGGCUGGGCUCCUCGGGAGCCCCCAGUAGUACUCUCAGUAGUGCUGGAGCAGGCCGGCCGGUGGCCCUAUAAACUCUUGUUUGUACAGUGUCUCUUCUGAGUAAAACAACUAUAAAUGAAUCAAAACUUUCAACAACGGAUCUCUUGGUUCUGGCAUCGAUGAAGAACGCAGCGAAAUGCGAUAAGUAAUGUGAAUUGCAGAAUUCAGUGAAUCAUCGAAUCUUUGAACGCACAUUGCGCCCGCUGGUAUUCCAGCGGGCAUGCCUGUUCGAGCGUCAUUUCAACCCUCAGGCCUCGCCUGGUGUUGGGGCACUACCUGUCACAGGGUAGGCCCUGAAAUUUAGUGGCGGGCUCGCUAGAACUCCGAGCGUAGUAAUUAUGCCUCGCUUUGGAAGGACUAGCGGUGCUUCUAGCCGUAAAACCCCCCCAAUUUUCUGAAAGUUGACCUCGGAUCAGGUAGGAAUACCCGCUGAACUUAAGCAUAUCAAUAAGCGGAGGAA
rnacentral:sRNA from 1 species